CAGAGUGAGGUGGGUAAUGGAUCUGAUCACCCACAGCUGCAGCAGAUUUAUGAUGGAGUCCCUCAGGGCAUGGGGAAGGGACCCUCAGAUCCUAUCAGGGCCUUUGCUCCCACAGGUCAUGUCUUCAACAUGCUCCAUGACAACUCCAAGCCAUGCAUCAGUUUGAAUGGGCCUUUGAGCACCUCUCGCCAUGUCAUGGCCCCUGUGAUGGCUCAUGUGGAUCCUGAGGAGCCCUGGUCCCCCUGCAGUGCCCGCUUCAUCACUGACUUCCUGGACAAUGGCUAUGGGCACUGUCUCUUAGACAAACCAGAGGCUCCAUUGCAUCUGCCUGUGACUUUCCCUGGCA
rnacentral:sRNA from 1 species